GACGAACGCUGGCGGCGUGCCUAAUACAUGCAAGUAGGACGCAGUUGCGAACGGGAGAGUAACGCGUAGGCAAAUACCUAUUAGAGGGGGAUAACAACUGGAAACGAUAGCUAAUACCGCAUACUAGUAGAUGGACCUGCGUUGUAUUAGCUAGUAGGUAGGGUAAUGGGCUACCUAGGCAACGAUACAUAGACGACCUGUGAGGGGGAACGGCCACCCAGGGACUGGGACACGGCCCAGACUCCUACUGGAGGCAACAGUAGGGAAUCUUCGGCAAUGGGGGGAACCCUGACCGAGCAACGCCGCGGGGGUUAAGAAGGUUUUCCGAUCGUAAAGCUCUGUUGUUAAGGAAGCGGUACUUAACCAGAAAGGGACGGCUAACUACGUGCCAGCAGCCGCGGUAAUAC
rnacentral:rRNA from 1 species